UCUGAAAACAUGGCGCGGGGCUGUGACUGGCUGCCGGCCAGCGAAUGUCAGGGGCCCAGUCAGCCUCAGCUGCAGCGAGGAGCUGCCAGGGUUGUCGCCGUCGUCGUCGUAGCUUUGCUCCCUGUCUGUCUGUCUACACAUCACACACGAAGUGAAAGAACGUGCUUGGGAAUGGUCAACACCUGAAGCAGGAGAGGGGACCUCAGGAGAGGAUCCUGGAGGAGCGCGCAUGGACUUCUGCCGUAUGUGUAAAAAUUUUCUUUCUUAAACUGGGUGAAGAGGCCUUUUUAUGCGUCUCAAACACUCUUUUAGUGAAACUAAACUGAAGUACUUACAGAGUAGUUGAGCUGGGCGGACUGCACAAGAGACCAGGCACCAAUUGGCGUGAACUCUCCGGUUCUGGACCCACAUCCAGAAGUGUGUGAAGCCACCGCCCAGAGCCCGGCCAACGGUAAAUAGGGCUGUGACCUGGGAAUCUGACAGUUCCCGAGCGCCCCCUGUGUGU
rnacentral:lncRNA from 1 species